GAUGAACGCUGGCGGCGUGCCUAAUACAUGCAAGUCGAGCGAACAGAUGAGGAGCUUGCUCCUCUGACGUUAGCGGCGGACGGGUGAGUAACACGUGGAUAACCUACCUAUAAGACUGGGAUAACUUCGGGAAACCGGAGCUAAUACCGGAUAAUAUAUUGAACCGCAUGGUUCAAUAGUGAAAGACGGUUUUGCUGUCACUUAUAGAUGGAUCCGCGCCGCAUUAGCUAGAUGGUAAGGUAACGGCUUACCAAGGCAACGAUGCGUAGCCGACCUGAGAGGGUGAUCGGCCACACUGGAACUGAGACACGGUCCAGACUCCUACGGGAGGCAGCAGUAGGGAAUCUUCCGCAAUGGGCGAAAGCCUGACGGAGCAACGCCGCGUGAGUGAUGAAGGUCUUCGGAUCGUAAAACUCUGUUAUUAGGGAAGAACAAAUGUGUAAGUAACUAUGCACGUCUUGACGGUACCUAAUCAGAAAGCCACGGCUAACUACGU
rnacentral:rRNA from 1 species